CCUCUCCAUUCAUUCCACACAUAAGCCCUCCCCGCGCCUGUCGCCGUGACUUUUACACCGACCUCUGCAUACACGCAUCCACUUUUCACCUUGCACAGCUCACGGCGCUUUCUCAUUCUGCCCCCGCCCCCUCUCCCUUAUUCGAUUCAGCGCACGCUUAGUGGAUCGACCACCUCCCCCUUUCCUCCGAGCCCGAUAUAGAUCAAGGCGUUUUCGCUACUUUUCUCUGCGCCACCUGCUCUAGCCCUUGAGCUCUUCGAUCGUGUGUGGCAUAUCUGUCGUCUUGGCCUUGCACAUAUUCGCGCCUAUUCGCAAAUCCAAACGAAGCACACAUACACAGACAGACAGACACCCCCCCCUUUUCCGCCCUCCUACGCCACCUCACUCCUCUUCCUCCUCCUCCCCCUCCCCCUACGCGCACGCACGUGAUCAUACUUUACGCCGUCAGUCUUAUUUGGGUCUUUUUUCUCUCUCUCACCUCUGUUUUUUUUUUUUGUUCGCGCGUUUGCUUAUUGGAAGACGAGUGCUUUGUUUUAGGAGCGGUGAAGAUGCUGCGCAACCUCGUCCGCUACGUGGGCCUCGUCCUCGUGCUGCUGUUCUUCAUUGCCAGCGGCAUUGAAAAAUUGGCGGCGCCGUCAGUGGGCGCGGCUUUCCUUGCGAAGAGCAACUUUCCUCGUAUGUUGGCUAAAAUGGGCGUCAAGCUCUCGCCGUCGGAAUACAUCCACGUCGUUCGCACCGCGGGUGUAAUGUGUGUGUCUUUCUCGCUUUUUAUUUUGCUUGGAGUUGGCCGUAGCUUCUUCUCCUUUCUGAUGGCGACUGGAAUGAUCAUCACCACGGUUGCAUUCUACGUGGACCUUGACUACCCGUUUGAAACUCCAGAAGAGAAUGUUCAGCACAUUCUUAAAAAUGCGUCCCUCGUUGGCGCGCUGCUGUUUGUGACGGGUAGUGGCCACCGAAGCCGUCGGUACAACCAAGCCCGUGUGGCGAGCGACAGCAAUCGGGCAAAGAAGAACAAUUGAGUUGAGGGUCGCGCGCGUCUUCACGGCCACGAAAAAAAAAGGAAAAGGGCUGCGCCUCUCUGUGUGUGUGUUUGUGUGUCGAGGAAGGAGAAUGACCCCUUUGCUGGGUCUGGUGCACUCGUAAGCGGAUUCUUCGGCAAGUAAAGUACUGCAGACCUCCUCUUUUUCUCUCUUGCUGUUGUUACUUUUCGGUUGGUUCUCCGUUGAUCACCCCUGUUUCUUUUUUCUUCGUUUGUCCUGCGCACAUACUACGGCGCGUGGCGUGUACACCUCUCUCCCGGCCAGUGUAUGUGCAUGCACGUCUGUGCGCACGUGCCUAGGUCUGCGCAACAGCGGGCUGUGUCGACUCCUCCUUUCCUUUGCUGUGGGCUCCUUUCAAACCUCCUUUCCUCUGUUGCGCACUUCCUCGUUUUUUUGUGUAGGGCACGCUUCUCCUUCCACACACACUCACAUACACACACAUACAUACAUAUAUAUUUCGGUGUAGGUGCGCGCGGGAUACUUGUGUGUCCAUCUCGGGGAGUGCCUUCAGUGUUAUCGACCAAAAAGAAAGAGUGGCCAGUAACGGUGGGACUGGCCCGGGGCUCUGACGGAACAAAGUGGCGGUGGCGCCGAGUGAUGGCCAUGCUAUUGGCGCCACAUCGUUCUCACCUCGCUGGCGCGCCGUUUCGUGGGUAGUGUCUUUUUUUUUAUUAUUCAAUUGUUCUCUGACACUGACUUGCCCAGGUACUAGACAGG
rnacentral:misc_RNA from 1 species